rnacentral:rRNA from 1 species
AAGUCCCGUAACGAGCGCAACCCUUGUCCUUAGUUGCCAGCAUUAAGUUGGGCUCUCUAAGGAGACUGCCGUGGUGAACACGGAGGAAGGUGGGGAUGACGUCAAGUCCUCAUGGCCUUUAUAUCCAGGGCGACGCACGUGAUACAAUGGAUGGUACAGAGGGAAGCCAAAGCGCAAGCUGGAGCCAAUCUCAAAAAGCCAUUCUCAGUUCGGAUUGGAGUCUGCAACUCGACUCCAUGAAGUUGGAAUCGCUAGUAAUCGCGGAUCAGCACGCCGCGGUGAAUACGUUCCCGGGCCUUGUACACACCGCCCGU